AAUUUGAAACCCCUCGAGGGAGAGUAAAUGUUGAGUGAAUUUUCAUUUUUGAUUGAAUUGUCCUUUAAUCUCAGGAGAACAAAUUUGGGAAAAAAAUUAAGGUGAAACUAAAAAACUAAGGGCUAAGGAUUAUUUUAUUUAUAUAUUUAUUUGAGUUUUUUUUUUCUUCGACUAUGGUUUAAGUUGAGGGGUUUCAAAACAGUGGACUAUGGAGAGUUAUGUAUUUAAAACCAUGCUGAUUUUUUUUUUUAUUUAAACUGUUGCUAAUGCUACUGUAAAUAUGGAUUAUGAAAUGAGGGUGUUUUUUAUAAAGUUUAAAAAAGUAACAAGAAGUGGGUUAUAUACUAUUUAAAGAUUUGUUUCUGUUUUCUGAACUUGACAAAAAUUGUAAGGAGAUUUAUUUGUUUUUGGAAAAGAACUAGAGGAUAAUAGAUUUAAAUCUUUAUUGAUAUUUUUAAGGUUGAUAUGAUAGAAUUUAGUGGGCUAAAUGGUAGUUAGUGAUCCCGAUUUUGAAAGAGGUCCUAAUCAAUAGGUGGCACUGUGGCAGUAAUACGCUUAUAAAUAAAUCUGUAUGCAAAACGGCAAUGUCUAGAAGAAGACAACGAUACGGUGACCACAACCAACACGAGGUUCAUGGCUCUACAGGUAAAACAAUUUACUUUGUGUUUCAUGAAAUGGUGUUAUUUUCCUAUAGUUUAUGUGGUUUUAGUCACGGGGUAGCAUUAGAGCAGGGAAUUCGGUAUUGCGAGAAAAGUUCAUAAAAAUGGUCACUGUUAACACGGAUUAUAAUCCGUUUUCAUCUAUAUUUGGUGCUGACCACUGUUUUUCCACAUAAAAAACUUUUAAUACCAUUUUGAAUCCGGCACAUACUUUAUUAGGCAUAACUAACAUUUAUGGUUGCGUUUGGAGGUUGUGCAAACUCUGGACAGUAGUCCUUCAGGAUCGAGUGAGUCUGAUGAUUAUAGUAUGUUAAUAAAGCCUGUUUAACCAGUUUCGUGCUUAUUAAACCUAUCAGUUCGAUUUCAUACAGGUCACUGAAGCAUAGACCAUAGGUCACGUGUUACUAUUCUCAAUGCUGUUGGACCAAACUAAUCUACGACAUAACUUUUCCCGCCCUACGCGUGCCUGACCACGUCAGUCAACCCUUUCGGUUAUUAACCCUGCUUUACUAUAGAUAAAUAAGUACACAAAUAUUUAAUAAAAGUGUGUUAAUAUAGUUGUGCCAUGGUUAUCAUAGAUUUACCUAUUUUUGCUAACAGAAACAUAUUUUAAGUAUUUUAGGUAACGUGUAUUUUUAUUCAGUGCGCCAAAAAUCAUGGUUUUACGGUAAAAAGUCCUUAACUGGAUAGCACAUACUUAACAAAUAACGUUAAAUUAAUAAAUAAUCUUACGAUGUUGCAAGGCUGACGUUAUUUAAUGGAAUAACGGUACUUACCAACAACGGACAAAUUAACCUUAAGCCUAAAACCGAAUAAACAACAACAAAAAAAGUUAAUAUGUAAACAAACAGAUAACUACGAAUGAACAGGAUUGUUAUAUGUACAAAUUUUGUAUUUACAGAUAAUUCUUGAGCUAAAUAUCAACCUAUUAUAAAAAAACAAACGUUGAGGGUGCAAUGUCAUCUGUUGACAAACAGCCGUUGAUCAUGUGACGUAAUGGCCUCACGACGUGUCACUCAGACAGGGUUAAUGGAAAUGUCAUUGUCUAUAAUUGUAAGAAAUUAAUUAAUUAGUUAAUUUUAUAUAUAUUUAUUAUUUUUAUUUAACAAUAUUCAUUAUUUUAUUUUUUACUAUUAAUAAUUACUUUCUAUCACACUGGCAUAAGGUUUGUUCUGUUGUCAUAUGUUGUAAAUUUAUUUACUAAUUGUUGUAUUUUAGGGGCACAAAUCUCUGGAAAAAUAUUACUUGUUAAUUGUAUUGUAAUUUUUUCAGGUGUUUUUGAAAGAGUUUUUUCACAAGUAUAAUAUGUUUCCCCCAUUCCCCCAAUGUUGUGAAAAUGCAUGAAAUGUACUAAAUUCCUACAUUAAAUUAAUGGAAAGAUUUUUUAUUGAGAGGUCAUGUACUAGAUACUUUAUUUAUUUUUCUAUUUAUUUUUCUACAAUAAAAAUAAUUUACAAUAAAAUUAUUUACAAUAAAAUUCUCACCUGUCUUAUGCAGAAUUCUCUUCUGAUGUUUAGCUGUGGUCCCUUGAUCCAGACACUCCUCAGCAACCAGUCUUUGUAUGGAAUCCACCGUGCUCUAUAAAGAUCUAUUUGUCUCUUCUUCCACUUCCAUCAGGGUCCAGUGACUACUAGGGGGUCUCUGCAAACUUCCAUUGACCACAAGAUAAGGAUUCACUCAAGGAAGGAUUAAAUGCCACCAUCUCACCCCAACCCUUUGGUGCAUCUGCAUUGGAAAUUAUUGGUCAAUUUUUGAGUGAUGGCCUUUCCACCACCAUACCUUUUAAAAUAGUAACAUAUGAAUGGUUAAUUGUUUUAGGCUGCAGCCAUUUAUUUUAAUUUCCAAUAAUACAUUUUAAACUGAAAUUGUAUGAAAUGCCAUGUUAUUUUAUGUAUUGUAAAAAAAACAAGUUAUUCAACACCAUUUCAACUAAUGUCAAGCAAUUUUAGAAUGUGACUGUUAUGCAUAAUUACUGCAUCCUCCUUACGACACAAUUCUUAUAACAAUUGACAUAACAGUGCAGUUAAGGUCUGACCAUGUCAAAGUUGUAUCAACUGCAGCUUUUAUACAUAAAGUAAAUGGGGUUGUUUAAAUUGAAA